rnacentral:lncRNA from 1 species
AAGAAGAAGACACUUAAAAAUAAAGGAGAUUUUCUUUAUUAACAUCCAAAGCCAUCGGUUACAUAAAUUAAGAUAACAAAGACUUUCUUGUGUGUGCAAAAGGAUGCUAUAUAUAAAGACAACAAGUAGAAAGAGAAAGACUCUCUCUCUCUCUCCCCAUUUUUAGCCAUGGAAGUUUAAUCAAGAUCAAGACCUCCCUAAGUUUGGAUGAAACUCAAAAGCUCUACAAGGUUGAUUCCAAAAAUGGGGGUGAGUUUCAUCUUGAGCUAAGCUUCCAUGGAAGCUAGGUGGAACGAAGGGUUAUCACCAAUAUAGCUUAGAACACACAUCAAUGUUCACUCCCAUACUUAACCGGUCGUGAUUAUAUUGAUGAUUUUCUUCAAACUGUUCCGGUUAAAGCAGUGGGGUUGAACCGGCAAGUCAUGGAACGGCAGAUAGGCUCGAUCAUCUUCGAACCUACCUAGGUCUUUUAUAUCGGCUCCUUCUCUACUACUAUCUUCUAGGUUUUUUAUUUUAUUUUGAUUUUAUUUUGUUCUUUUGAAAUUUUUCAUUAAGGUUAUAAAAUCUUGUUGUUGUUUUGUCAAUUCCGUUGUGUUUAUAUUAUGGCAAUUUAAGGAGUUACGUACGAUAUUUUUAAUUUCCUUAAAACAUGUUUGUUGUCCUAUAUUAAUUCAUGAAUGUGAUAAUUGCAAUAUAUAAGAAAACAAGAGCAUUUUAAUUUUAUUAAGUCUUUAAUUUACAAGUACAAUAUUUCAGAUUCUUAAUUUUAUGCUUAAUUUUUCUUGGAAUUAGGUCUUGUACAGUAUUUCAGAUUCUUUUUGGUAUAUAAAAAAAAUAAAAUUGUGUAUUUGAGUUCUUAAUUUUAUUUGUUGUCAAAUUUAAAGAAUCAGUAACUUUUUUUUUUGGUAACAAUUUUGUCAAAUAAUAAAUUUCGUAUUUACAAAUCAUUUUUGAGUUUUAAAAAAAAACCAUGGAAUUAUAGAAUCCAUACAUGGUUUCUCAUGUAUGCAAAAAAAAUAGUUACCCGAAGAAUUGAACAUGGUCGACAUGAUUAGACGAUUGGCCAUAUUUUUGCUUAGAGAACCAUGUGCUGAUACCUGAAUAUGAAUGUAUGACAUUGACAAGGUUGUGGUGAAAUAAUGGUUUGGUGCUUUUUGUUACAAUGAUUUUUGUUGAGAAAUAAGAAUUGGAUCCUCAACACUCCAACAGUAAUAUUAUUACAAUAUGCUUCAAGAUUCACCAUUUUAGUCUACAUCAUAUUAUUUUAUCCGAAUUUGGUAAUGUAUUUAUUUAUUUAAUGUGUGGUUGAAAAAAAAAAGGAGUUAUAAACUUAUAGUAAUCAUUUGGAAAAGAAAUUAAAAAGAAAAAAAAAUCAGAAAAGAAAAAAGUAAAUGUCAGAAGUGGGGUUUGAACCCACGCCCUCGUAAGAGGACCAGAACUUAAGUCUGGCGCCUUAGACCACUCGGCCAUCCUGACUAUGUUGAACAAUUGAUAUAUUAUAAAUAUUUAUACCAACCAUUAUCACUAGCACACAUUAUUUGCUUUUCUCUACCAAGUUGUUCUAGCUACUCUUAGUUUUUUUUUUUUUUGGUACAAAAAUAAAAAGAAAGUAAUGAAUUGCAUAGGUUUUUUUUUUUUUUUUUUUUUUUUUUUUUUUUU